AACGCACAUUGCGCCCCUUGGUAUUCCGAGGGGCAUGCCUGUUCGAGCGUCAUUACAACCCUCAAGCCUAGCUUGGUGUUGGGGUCUGCUGUUACCGGCAGCCCUUAAACCCAGUGGCGGUGCCAUCUGGCUCUAAGCGUAGUAAUACUUCUCGCCAUAGAGUCCCGGUGGGGUGCCUGCCAUUAACCCCUAGUUUUCUAUGGUUGACCUCGGAUCAUGUAGGGAUACCCGCUGAACUUAA
rnacentral:misc_RNA from 1 species